AAGUCGUAACAAGGUUUCCGUAGGUGAACCUGCGGAAGGAUCAUUAACACGUUAUCCACGUAUCACCAACGAGGUCCGUUUUCAACUAUCUCUCCACCAGUCCUGAAGUGGUAACUCGUCAUGGAGCUUAAGAUGGGAUGCUUGCGUCCGCUCUACAUGCACACUGACUAGAGAUCUAGCAAUAGGUCAAAGGUCGACACUUGUAUGGACUGGGAGGUCUAAUCUCUCGGGUCUUCGGCCAAUCUUCGAUCAGCUCGAGAGAAAUAAUUUCACCCUUUCACCCCCUUUUUGCUAGUUGACUUUUAUCUGUGGCUCAUUUGCUUCGGCACGUGAUCACACGUUUAAUUAUUUGAACGUUAAAAAUACAACUCUUAGCAAUGGAUAUCUAGGUUCUC
rnacentral:misc_RNA from 1 species